rnacentral:tRNA from 1 species
GGAGANNNGUCCGAGUCUGGCUGAAGGAGCACGGUUGGAAACCGUGUAAGCGUGGCGACGCGUUUCGAGGGUUCGAAUCCCUUCCUCUCCAUCA